GAGGGUAUAGCUCAAGUGGUAGAGCACAUGCUUACCAUGCACGAGGUUCUGGGUUCAAUCCCCAGUACCUCCU
rnacentral:tRNA from 1 species